rnacentral:rRNA from 1 species
AUUGAACGCUGGCUGCAGGCCUAACACAUGCAAGUCGAACGAGUGGCGGACGGGUGAGUAAUGUCUGGGAAACUGCCCGAUGGAGGGGGAUAACUACUGGAAACGGUAGCUAAUACCGCAUACCAUCGGAUGUGCCCAGAGGGGAUUAGCUAGUAGUUGGGGUAACGGCUCACCUAGGCGACGAUCCCUAGCUGGUCUUAGAGGAUGACGAGCCACACUGGAACUGAGAUAGCGUCCAGACUCGUACGAGAGGCAGCAGUGGGGAAUAUUGCACAAUGGGCGCAAGCCGGAUGCAGCCAUGCCGGGUGGAGGAAGAAGGCGUUCGGGUUGUAAAGUACUUUAAGCGAGGAGGCGUUACUCGCAGAAGAAGCAGCGGCUAACUCCGUGCCAGCAGCCGCGGUAAUAC